rnacentral:rRNA from 1 species
GAUGAAUUUUGGCGGCGUGCCUAAUACAUGCAAGUCGAGCGAACGGACGAGAAGCUUGCUUCUCUGAUGUUAGCGGCGGACGGGUGAGUAACACGUGGAUAACCUACCUAUAAGACCGGGAUAACUUCGGGAAACCGGAGCUAAUACCGGAUAAUAUUUUGAACCGCAUGGUUCAAAAGUGAAAGACGGUCUUGCUGUCACUUAUAGAUGGAUCCGCGCUGCAUUAGCUAGUUGGUAAGGUAACGGCUUACCAAGGCAACGAUGCAUAGCCGACCUGAGAGGGUGAUCGGCCACACUGGAACUGAGACACGGUCCAGACUCCUACGGGAGGCAGCAGUAGGGAAUCUUCCGCAAUGGGCGAAAGCCUGACGGAGCAACGCCGCGUGAGUGAUGAAGGUCUUCGGAUCGUAAAACUCUGUUAUUAGGGAAGAACAUAUGUGUAAGUAACUGUGCACAUCUUGACGGUACCUAAUCAGAAAGCCACGGCUAACUACGUGCCAGCAGCCGCGGUAAUACGUAGGUGGCAAGCGUUAUCCGGAAUUAUUGGGCGUAAAGCGCGCGUAGGCGGUUUUUUAAGUCUGAUGUGAAAGCCCACGGCUCAACCGUGGAGGGUCAUUGGAAACUGGAAAACUUGAGUGCAGAAGAGGAAAGUGGAAUUCCAUGUGUAGCGGUGAAAUGCGCAGAGAUAUGGAGGAACACCAGUGGCGAAGGCGACUUUCUGGUCUGUAACUGACGCUGAUGUGCGAAAGCGUGGGGAUCAAACAGGAUUAGAUACCCUGGUAGUCCACGCCGUAAACGAUGAGUGCUAAGUGUUAGGGGGUUUCCGCCCCUUAGUGCUGCAGCUAACGCAUUAAGCACUCCGCCUGGGGAGUACGACCGCAAGGUUGAAACUCAAAGGAAUUGACGGGGACCCGCACAAGCGGUGGAGCAUGUGGUUUAAUUCGAAGCAACGCGAAGAACCUUACCAAAUCUUGACAUCCUUUGACAACUCUAGAGAUAGAGCCUUCCCCUUCGGGGGACAAAGUGACAGGUGGUGCAUGGUUGUCGUCAGUUCGUGUCGUGAGAUGUUGGGUUAAGUCCCGCAACGAGCGCAACCCUUAAGCUUAGUUGCCAUCAUUAAGUUGGGCACUCUAAGUUGACUGCCGGUGACAAACCGGAGGAAGGUGGGGAUGACGUCAAAUCAUCAUGCCCCUUAUGAUUUGGGCUACACACGUGCUACAAUGGACAAUACAAAGGGCAGCGAAACCGCGAGGUCAAGCAAAUCCCAUAAAGUUGUUCUCAGUUCGGAUUGUAGUCUGCAACUCGACUACAUGAAGCUGGAAUCGCUAGUAAUCGUAAAUCAGCAUGCUACGGUGAAUACGUUCCCGGGUCU